GACAGGUUUUUAGUGAGACAGAAAAUUAAACUCAUAAAACUUUUCAACGUUAUUCAGUAAAUACACCGAUGGCUUUAACUUUCGUCGUGUGUUUAUUUUUUGCUGUUAUACUGCGUACGCCGUUCAUUCGCUUGACCUUUUUUUUAGUAUUUUUUCUAUUUCAUUUACAAUCAAGUUAUUCUCAGUUUCUCGCAGCUCUUCUCGAUUUUAAAAGGUGUUAUCUUUAUCAUCAAGGAAUGUAAGUUUUGAAAUCGUUCAAAUUGCUCCGAAUUCAUUCCAUUCAGUCAGUAGUUGGCCUCAAUGACUGAAUGACCUAUGCCCUUAGUUGUUAGUUCCUUCUUUUACCGCAGGCACAUCUUUUUAAAGUAAAUGGUUUGAACCCGGGAGUAAACUGAACGUUUAACCUGACGUUAACCUGACGUUUACUCCUCAUUUGAUUCUGAAGAUUACUAACGCUAAGGCUGUCGAAAGGUCAGUCAACAACAACAAAAACAGUCCUUCUCAGGACUAUACCAACCUGGACGAUCUACAUUUACAAACAUGCACAUCUUUUUCAUAAGAAUCGUAACAUAACGUCGUCGUUGUUUUGUGACAUCAAGUUGUUUUUUAAAUACUGACAUAUUUCAACAUCUCAUUGCGUAAUGCCAUCUUCUAAGUCGUGCAGUUCAUGUGAGUCCCAGAAUUAUUCGUAAGUUACUAAGUUUAGUCAGCCAGUGUCUUGAUGGGCAAGAAGCACAGCCUCCUUAACGUCAAUGACUUGAGUUGAUACGUUAAAUUUUUGUCUUUCAUUAUGGCCUUGGUGGAACACCUUCCCUCUUGACAACGAGCAGGAAAAUAGUCCAGUUUUGCCGUAUCUUCUUUGACGCCAAAUAAAUUACCCGCAAAAAUA